UCGGGCUGGCGAAGGGCUUGUCGGAGCGGUCGCCCCGGCGGGCCCACAGCUGCAGCAGCCAGUUGCUGUUCUGCUGCACCAGCACGCUGUUCUCCCCCUCAUAGCCGUGGCCACCGCACGCCUCUCGACACUCCUGUAUGCCGUCUCGCGCGAGCCAGGCGCAAAGUGGCUUGGCCCCUGAAGACAGACCAUGGAUCUCUGCACCCAGUGUCAUCUGAAAAUAUCAGUUCCUGCCAAAAUUAGUCUGACAAUAAAUACAGACAAUUUUAUCAUGGUA